UACGAAGGGUGCAAGCGUUACUCGGAAUCACUGGGCGUAAAGCGUGCGUAGGCGGUUCGUUAAGUCUGCUGUGAAAACUCGGGGCUUAACCCCGGGCCUGCAGUGGGUACGGGCAGACUAGAGUGCGGUAGGGGAGACUGGAAUUCCUGGUGUAGCGGUGAAAUGCGCAGAUAUCAGGAGGAACACCGGUGGCGAAGGCGGGUCUCUGGGCCGUAACUGACGCUGGAGGAGCGGAAAGCGUGGGGGAGCGAACAGG
rnacentral:rRNA from 1 species